rnacentral:rRNA from 3 species
AGACCCGAAACCCGGUGAUCUAGCCAUGGGCAGGUUGAAGGUUGGGUAACACUAACUGGAGGACCGAACCGACUAAUGUUGAAAAAUUAGCGGAUGACCUGUGGCUGGGGGUGAAAGGCCAAUCAAACCGGGAGAUAGCUGGUUCUCCCCGAAAGCUAUUUAGGUAGCGCCUCGUGAAUUCAUCUCCGGGGGUAGAGCACUGUUUCGGCUAGGGGGCCAUCCCGGCUUACCAACCCGAUGCAAACUGCGAAUACCGGAGAAUGUUAUCACGGGAGACACACGGCGGGUGCUAACGUCCGUCGUGAAGAGGGAAACAACCCAGACCGCCAGCUAAGGUCCCAAAGUCAUGGUUAAGUGGGAAACGAUGUGGGAAGGCCCAGACAGCCAGGAUGUUGGCUUAGAAGCAGCCAUCAUUUAAAGAAAGCGUAAUAGCUCACUGGUCGAGUCGGCCUGCGCGGAAGAUGUAACGGGGCUAAACCAUGCACCGAAGCUGCGGCAGCGAACGUAUCACCCAAGACAACUUUACGGAGUUGACGAUUGACGGA